rnacentral:lncRNA from 1 species
GCGAUAAUUUGAUAACUAGAAAUUCAGAGAAUUCUACCAAGAGCUCCACAUCGAGCAUCGACUGGCUUUGAUAGGACACCUAUAAUUGAAUAGGGAAGACAAAGUGAUGAACAGGACCAUCCUGUAGGGCCUAAAGGCAAGGUUUGGCCAAGCCAAAGGACCCUAGGUGGAGGAAUUGUAUAGCAUCCUAUGGGCUAAUUGAACUACACCCUAAGUCCCCACUGAGGAGACCCCUUUUGGCAUUCGGGACCGAGGCAGUGAUUCCCAUGGAGAUUGGUCUCCCAUC